rnacentral:rRNA from 1 species
UACGUAGGGUGCAAGCGUUAAUCGGAAUUACUGGGCGUAAAGCGUGCGCAGGCGGUUUUGCAAGACAGAUGUGAAAUCCCCGGGCUCAACCUGGGAACUGCCUUUGUGACUGCAUAGCUAGAGUACGGUAGAGGGGGAUGGAAUUCCGCGUGUAGCAGUGAAAUGCGUAGAUAUGCGGAGGAACACCGAUGGCGAAGGCAAUCCCCUGGACCUGUACUGACGCUCAUGCACGAAAGCGUGGGGAGCAAACAGG